UGUUAGGGCCAUACCACCCUGAACAUGCUCAAUCUUGCCUGAUCUAGAAAGCUAAGCAGGGCUGGCCUGGUUAAUACUUGGAUGGGAGACCACCUGGGAAUACCAGGUGCUGUAGGCA
ensembl:rRNA 5S_rRNA 5S ribosomal RNA